AUUAAAAACUAAGAUUCCUGGCUUACAGAAUUCUCAGUGAUUAAGAAUCAAAGAAAGGACCAGCUGGAAGUUAUCCUGAGAAAGGAACUGCCUGGGAGAGCUUCCUCAGAUCAGCCCUAAAAGUUCACCAAGUUGCAGAUGCUACUGUGAUGCCAUUCUGAAUUUCCUGGGGCAGAUGACCUCACCAAUGAUCCUAGAACCUCACCUACCCAGAGCCCUACAGCCUGGAAUAGGCUAGGAGUAUGGAUCAUCCUGCCAACACUCAUGUCUAGCAAAAAAGCAAUUACAGAAACUAGACCUCUCACCUUCCGCAUCCCAUGAAGGUCUAUGGUCCAUACUCCAAGAGGGAUAAAGAAUAGGGAAACUUCCAAACAGAGGGAAUGGGAUAUGGAACUCUGAUGAGAACUGUAUGGGAUUGUAGCCCUCUUAUCCCACAAUCUUGUUGAUCAUUAUUAAACCACUAAUAAAAUAAAAUUUAAAAAAGGAAAA